GACGAACGCUGGCGGCGUGCUUAACACAUGCAAGUCGAACGGAAAGGCCCUGCUUUUGUGGGGUGCUCGAGUGGCGAACGGGUGAGUAACACGUGAGUAACCUGCCCUUGACUUUGGGAUAACUUCAGGAAACUGGGGCUAAUACCGGAUAGGAGCUCCUGCUGCAUGGUGGGGGUUGGAAAGUUUCGGCGGUUGGGUAUGGACUCGCGGCUUAUCAGCUUGUUGGUGGGGUAGUGGCUUACCAAGGCUUUGACGGGUAGCCGGCCUGAGAGGGUGACCGGCCACAUUGGGACUGAGAUACGGCCCAGACUCCUACGGGAGGCAGCAGUGGGGAAUAUUGCACAAUGGGCGGAAGCGUGAUGCUGCAACGCCGCGUGCGGGAUGACGGCCUUCGGGUUGUAAACCGCUUUCGCCUGUGACGAAGCGUGAGUGACGGUAAUGGGUAAAGAAGCACCGGCUAACUACGUG
rnacentral:rRNA from 1 species